rnacentral:rRNA from 1 species
GACGAACGCUGGCGGCGUGCUUAACACAUGCAAGUCGAACGGUGAAGGGGUCUGCUUUUGUGGGCCCUGGAUGAGUGGCGAACGGGUGAGUAACACGUGAGUAACCUGCCCCCUUCUUCUGGAUAACCGCAUGAAAGUGUGGCUAAUACGGGAUAUUCUGGGUCUGUCGCAUGAUGGGUCUGGGAAAGAUUGCGCCUUUGGGUGUUUUUGGUGGGGGAUGGGCUCGCGGCCUAUCAGCUUGUUGGUGGGGUGAUGGCCUACCAAGGCGGUGACGGGUAGCCGGCCUGAGAGGGUGGACGGUCACACUGGGACUGAGACACGGCCCAGACUCCUACGGGAGGCAGCAGUGGGGAAUAUUGCACAAUGGGCGCAAGCCUGAUGCAGCGACGCCGCGUGAGGGAUGGAGGCCUUCGGGUUGUAAACCUCUUUCGCCAGUGAAGCAGGCCUGCUCCUUGUGGGUGGGUUGACGGCAGCUGGAUAAGAAGCGCCGGCUAACUACGUG